CUAAGAAUAUUCCGCAAUGGGGGGAAACCCUGACGGAGCGACGCCGCGUGGACGAUGAAGGCCGGAAGGUUGUAAAGUCCUUUUAUGACAGAGGAAUAGGCGUGGGAGUGGAAAGCCCAUGUGAUGACUGUAGGUCAUGAAUAAGAGGCGGCUAAUUACGUGCCAGCAGCCGCGGUAACACGUAAGCCUCGAGCGUUGUUCGGAAUUAUUGGGCGUAAAGGGCAUGUAGGCGGAAUUGCAAGCUUGAUGUGAAAGGCAGGGGCUUAACUCCUGGAUUGCGUUGAGAACUGCAUAACUAGAGUAACUGAGGGCAGCCGGAAUUCCAGGUGUAGGGGUGAAAUCUGUAGAUAUCUGGAAGAACACCAAUGGCGAAGGCAGGCUACCAGCAGAUUACUGACGCUGAGGUGCGAAGGUAUGGGGAGCAAACAGGAUUAGAUACCCUGGUAGU
rnacentral:rRNA from 1 species